AUGAGAGCGUUGAUCGCUCAGUCGAGUCUUUUUAGUUUGUACCAAUUAGAAAUAAAUGUCGGUGGAUUUUCUCCUUUCAUCCUGUUUUGUUUGCAUAUUAUUUCAUGCACCCCAAAACAUAUAAUAGUCAAUGUUUUGAAUAGCCAUCCUCGCUUCAGAUGCAUGUUCGAAAACUCACAUGAUGAGUGGGUCGCUGGGCUAGAUGUUGAGUACACCACAGUCGUGGGACGAGAGAAGGAUCUAAAGGACGAAGAGGGGAAGAAGCCCACCUUGAUCCAGGUUUGCGUACAUAACGUUUGCUUGGUCUACCACAUAUGCCAUGCCGACGUUGAGUGCCAGGAUUUUAAGAACUUCCUCGAGGACAAAACAGUCAAAUUCGUUACUGUAGACUUUAAGAACGACAAAGAAGUCCUGCGUCGGAUAGGCCUCGUUGUAGGCAACCCUUUCGACCUCCAGAAGAAUCGACUGGUGCCCUCUCGUUAG
rnacentral:rRNA from 1 species